CUCUCAGCCAUUGGGAGCACUUUGAAAUUCGCUGCAAGCUCGUCGCUAUCCUCGGCAUCUCUUACUGCAUUCUUUUGAAGUAUUUGCUUCUGUGAAACGUUGAAGAAAAAGUUAAAGAUAUGUUGACUACAACUCGGUUUCAAAUUAUAUGUAAUUGGAUUUUUUUAUUUGUUAUUUGUAAUAUAUUAAAAAUUAAUUGCUUCCUGAUUAUUUUGUCAUGCCUUGAGUAGAUUGAGGCAAUUUUCAGCAACAACAAGGUGUACAAUGCGGAGAUGAUUGUUGUGAUGGCGAGUCGAAGUUCAAAUUACUGCUUGUUUUGUUAAGAAGGAAAAUCAAUGCCAAGAAUCAUUACUGGUUCAACAAGCCUUUGCAGACUUGGAGAGGUGAUUUUCCAUUUGAAAAGAUUGUCUAUCCUUAGUUCCAGCUUUAUUUUAUUAUUGCUAA